ACUCAAAUGAAUUGACGGAAGCUCGCACAAGCGGUGGAGCAUGUGGUUUAAUUCGAUAUAACGCGGGUAAUCUUACCAGAGCUUGUAUAACUUUAAAGUGGUAUGUCAAGUAUUAUUAUUUGCUUUUUUAAGCAUAGAAGUUACAGGUGCUGCAUGGCUGUCGUCAGUUCGUGUUGUGAGAUGUUUGGUUUGUUCCAAAAACGAACGUAAUCCUCGAACUAUUUUGCCCUUUUGUAUUUCAAUAAUUAUUUUAUUUUAUUCUAAGGAAAAUAAGUUUACUGCCGCAGAAAUGCGGAGGAAGGAGAGGAAGAUGUCAAGUCAGUAUGGCCUUUAUGUUUUGGGCUACACACGUGCUACAAUGGCUUUUACAAUAAGUAGCCAAAGGGUGACCUUUAGCAAAUCUUUUAAAAUAAGUCGCAGUUCGAAUUGUUCCUUGUAAUUCAGGAACAUGAAGUUGGAAUCGCUAGUAAUCGUGGAUUAGAACGUUACGGUGAAUAUGUUCUCGAGCUUAGUACACACCGCCCGU
rnacentral:rRNA from 1 species